rnacentral:rRNA from 1 species
CAGUCGCCGCGGGAAUACAGAGGGUGCGAGCGUUAAUCGGAUUUACUGGGCGUAAAGCGUGCGUAGGCGGCUUCUUAAGUCGGAUGUGAAAUCCCUGAGCUUAACUUAGGAAUUGCAUUCGAUACUGGGAAGCUAGAGUAUGGGAGAGGAUGGUAGAAUUCCAGGUGUAGCGGUGAAAUGCGUAGAGAUCUGGAGGAAUACCGAUGGCGAAGGCAGCCAUCUGGCCUAAUACUGACGCUGAGGUACAAAAGCAUGGGGAGCAAACAGGAUUAGAUACCCGUGUAGUCCCUGUCUCUUAUAC